rnacentral:rRNA from 1 species
GGACUACUAGGGUAUCUAAUCCUGUUUGCUCCCCACGCUGUCGCGCAUCAGCGUCAGCCUCACCCCAGCAGACCGCCUUCGCCACCGGUGUUCUUCCGGAUCUCUACGCAUUCCACCGCUACACCCGGAAUUCCAUCUGCCUCUAGUGAGCUCGAGCCGAGGAGUCUCGACGGCCGACCCGGGGUUGAGCCCCGGGCUUUCACCGCCGACUUCCUAAGCCGCCUACGCGCCCUUUACGCCCAGUGAUUCCGGACAACGCUCGCACCCUCCGUAUUACCGCGGCUGCUGGCAC